AAAGAAAACAAGAGAGAAGGACUGGCAGUAGAUGUUAGCUCAGGGCUAAUCUUCCUGAAAAAAAAAAUACUAUAGAGAUCCCUACACAUUUUGGCCUUUCCUCCAAUAGUAACACUUUGCAAAAUUACAGUAUAAUAUCAUGACCAGGACAUUGAUAUGAUACAAUCCACUGUGAUCUUAUUUAGACAUUUCAUCAUACUUUAACAGUUAAAUCCCUUGCAAGAAAAACUUUUGAAGAGAUACUGCCACCAAAUAGUUUCACUAAUGAUGAUCCUUAAAUCAAAAAUUAUUCACCAAAAACCAGAAAUGAUUUUCAACAAAACAGUACCAGCAAGAAUAAGUACAGACAAAAAACUGUAAUUCCAUAUGUAAAACAGCCCAUUCUCUUACUGUUUUUCUUUAAUAAAGCCUAGUUAUAGUGCUUUAUAUUCAUGUAAUUUCAAGAUGCCUUAUAUUCUCGAACAUAAGCACUUUAUUAAUUAAACUAAUUAAGCUAACUAAAAUUCUGGUACAGUUCUUUUACUUCAGUAAUGUGAAACAGAAUAAAGAAAACCUCAUUUAAAAUGAGGUCAGGAGGCCAGAAGGGAGAGCUCUCACACAUUACUACUCAACAUCAAUUACAGACCCCAACAGGAAGAAUCAUCAAUCACUACCCCAGCAGGAAGAAGAUUUCCUCCUUGCCCAGCAACUCAGCCAAUCAGAAACUGUCACCACUCCGAACUCUUGCUUUCCACCUACGGGUUUUCAUUCAAAACAACCCCUCCCAACUUCCUCCGUUUUCUCCGCUGUUUGCUGACUUGCCUGUGACUUUUCAGGACAGGACUUGCUUGUCCUGAAUUGCAACUCCUCUGCUAUUCCCAUAUAAACCUAUUUUGCUGGGAAAAUAACUGGUUGUUUUGUUUGUUUAGGUUAACAUUACAUGGUGUCAGCAGUGAGAUCCAGAGAAGACCCCCAACAACUCCAAGGCUGGUGGGCAAACGGGUGCUGGUACCCAGAGCCCACUGAGGUCACUGCUUUCUUGCCGACCCUGGAGUAUGAGGAACGUCCAGGAAGCAUACAAGACUCCGGAUUUGCCUCCAGAAGAAGAGGCUUUUUCCCCUGGGAUGAAGAAAAUUAGCCCUGAGCUAACAUCUACUGCCAAU